rnacentral:lncRNA from 1 species
CUCGUUUUCUCUUGCCACUGCCAUGUAAGAAGUGCCUUUCACCACCCCCACACCCUGCCAUGACUCUGAGGCCUCCCCAGCCACGUGGAACUGAGGCAGCUGUAUGGAGGCCAAUAUGCAGACAAGGGAAGUAACUCAGGCAUUUUGGGGGAGAGGUACAGAAAGAAGAGAAAAGACUGAACUGACUGCUGUUCUGAACAAGAACUGUGACUAUAUGUGGUACUCCCAGAAUGCUGGUUUCCUUUCAGACCCAUCAAGUGGCCAUCCUAUUGGCUUGGACUGAAGACCCCCACUGGAGAACUGUCUCUGCAGCCUAUACUGAUGACACUGGCCACUGUCCAGGGCUCCACCCCAAGGAGUCCAAGCCCCAGACAUUUAGCCUUAGAGAGAAUCCAGAUUUUGCAUUUCCAGUGCAGGGAUUGAUGGAGCCUUGUGUAUCAAAGUGCCAAUUUCUUUCUAACAAGCUAGGGAGGAUACCGUUGACAGCAGCAGAAAGGGGUAGCAGUGGUUUGCUUUCCAAAUGGUAAUAAGAAGGGCCUGGCAGUGGCAACCUGUCCACGUAUCAUUAAAAAUGGACUCUCCUGCUUCGUUUGGAAUUCAACCCAAUGAACUUGAAUAAACUCUGGACAAUGACCAGCACAGAGCCCUAAGCAGGAUACAGCAAGAUUAUUUGCUUUACUCAUCCACUGAGUACCUACCAUGUGCCAAAUACUAUGCUAUAUGCCGAGUAUACACUGGCAAAUAAAACAGAUAUGGUCCCUGGAGCCUAUGAAUCUUACCCCAUCUAGCCACAAAUAAUAAAAAUAAGAAGAAUCUGAAGGACAAGUGGGACAGAAAUACUCAAGCAGAAUGAGGGUGAGAUUGAAGUCCCUGAACAUACAGUGCCCUUUACACUUGAUCUUAGCCAAAAGGCCGAGAAGAGAUUACAGUGCUUUUUAAAGGUAGCAUUUCACCCAGCCAAUAAUCAAUCCCUUUGGCCUUCUUGAGGUGCAAGGCCACACACUCAAAUUCUUUAAUCAAACAAUAGGCUAGUGCAAAUGGAGCUAUUUCUUAAACCCAGCUGUUUACACAGCAGCUACAAAUCUGUUCAGAAGGAAUCCCCCACCAUCCACAACUGUCUAUCGAGCAGAUGUGCAAGAGUAUUUGUCUCUCACCACCAGGGUUGCAGUCAGGACAAGAGAGCAGGUUUGAACGUCUUCGGCUCCUAGAACUGCACAAGCUGUGUCUUCAGUGCCCAGAGGCGGCUGCAACGUCUCCCCAGUUCUCCUCUCAGAACAAUGGAAAUUUUUUUUAGAGGCGUAAUAGGAAGGUUUGCAUUGAAUUAUUAAACAAUGGGUAUUGAAAAAUAUGUUUUCUUUGACCUCUGUACUUCUAGCUUUUACCAGUCAGUGUUUUCUUGUACCAAGGCUAAGAUAUGUAUAACACUGAAAUGGAUGUCUUCUUAUAUAAUAUUUUACAAGCUUUUGAAAACCUGUGCCCUUUAAUAAAUUUUAAAACGUUU